rnacentral:lncRNA from 1 species
UAAAAUUUGUGUUGUUGCUCAGAAUAAAUCUGUCUUGAGCCUCUUUGCUUGCAGAAAAAGAAUUACAUGAAUUGGAUGAAUGGUCUGAUAAAAAACAUCAAUUGCUGAAAUCACUGCAAUCUAAUCAGAAAGAGCUGCAAGAAAUUAAGGAAUGUGCACCUAUGAAACCAGACAGUGUUAGUGAGCAUAAAUUGCAGGAAUUAAAUGAGGAAAUAAGAAAUUUGACCUUAGAGUUGGAGACAACUCUAAAUGGUAUGCAAAAUGUAUGUUGUCGUGCUUCAGAAAAAAUUAUAUUUAUACAACCUACUGAAAAAGAAUUACAUGAGUUGCAUGAACUAUCUGAAAAGAAAUAUCAAUUACUGGAAACACUGGGCUCUAAUCGGAAAGAACUACAAGAAAUUCAGGAACUUGUAACUACCCAACCAGGC